UGGUCUCGUCUAGUGCGGAAGCCACCUCUGGUAACCCGGAAGUGACUUCUUUCCGGCAAGUUGCUGUCAUCUCUUCAUACCAUAUGCCACUUGUGGCACGUCCGCUUCUUCAGAAUGGGUUGCAAAAAGAAAAGCAGACUGCAUGUAGGAAAAAAAGGUCUGAGGUACUACCAAAAGGAAAGAGUGCCACUGCAAGAAGUCUCACAGACUCUUGGGGCCUGCGCAAACAGCCCAUUUAAAAAAAAGAGGAAGCUACACACUCCAGUAUCAUCACCCUACAAGAAGCAUCCUCUCACUCCCAGUAAACGUCACUCCCACAAGAAGCAUCCUCUCACCCCCAGUCCAUGUCACUCCAAGCGGAGAAGUCCCUAUGUUUUUCUCCAGGACAGCAAAGUAACAGAACUCCACCACCACAGUUUGACCUACAAGAUGAUGACGAGUGGGAGGAUGAAGAUAUCUCAGUAAGAUGAAGACCUCUUCACAAAGAUGAUGAUGGCACAAGGCAUCCUGAUGGAACAUGACAGGCCAGACAUCAUCAGUGAACUGAUACAUGCCAUAAACUCAGGCAAUCUGGACACAUCUCGAUUAACGUUCCAAAUCAUUCAUGAAACAUUGAAAUUCUUGAACUCUCCAGACAUCAGAGGUAUGCGAUACUCAACAAUGAGUCUUGAUUUUUGGAAGAUGGUAAUGAAUAAAUGUGGGGCUGCUGUGAUUCGCAUGUUAUCAGGAUGGAAGACAAUAGACAAUGCCCUGACAACAGAGAAGAACCGUGACUGGCAAGGAUCGAAGACCAGUAUCAUCCUAGCUACACCAAGUGUCAAUGUGUUGUUGAC